AUUGAACGCUGGCGGCAUGCCUUACACAUGUAAGUCGAACGGUAACAGGUCUUCGGAUGCUGACGAGUGGCGAACGGGUGAGUAAUACAUCGGAACGUGCCUAGUAGUGGGGGAUAACUACUCGAAAGAGUGGCUAAUACCGCAUGAGAUCUACGGAUGAAAGCAGGGGAUCGCAAGACCUUGUGCUACUAGAGCGGCCGAUGGCAGAUUAGGUAGUUGGUGGGAUAAAAGCUUACCAAGCCGACGAUCUGUAGCUGGUCUGAGGGGACGAUAAGCAACACUGGGGAUGAGACACGGGCCAGACUCCUACGGGAGGGAGCAGUGGGGAAUUUUGGACAAGGGGCGCAAGCCUGGUCCAGCAAUGCCGCGUGCAGGAUGAAGGCCUUCGGGUUGUAAACUGCUUUUGUACGGAACGAAAAGCCCUGGGUUAAUACCCUGGGGUCAUGACGGUACCGUAAGAAUAAGCACCGGCUAACUACGUGCCAGCAGCCGCGGUAACAC
rnacentral:rRNA from 1 species